GGUGUAAUGACUUUCAAUGCAUUGAAGUAGCUAAUCUUGACGAGAUCAAAAUUUCAAAUCUUUCACACACAAACAUUACCACGAAUCCAAAAAUUGAUGUGGAGUACCGUGAGCAUAUGGUACGCGACAACAUGUGGAGAUAUUUCAUAAUCCGCCGAAGGACUAACAAACCUUCUUGGCAAAAAUUUAAACUACAUGUUGUAGAUGAUGAACAUGGAGAAGAUACUGCAAUAGUUUGCAUUUUUUAUCUGGACACUACUAAAUGUGAUGAAGAACAGCAUUC